UACGUAGGGGGCGAGCGUUGUCCGGAUUUAUUGGGCGUAAAGAGCUCGUAGGCGGCUUGGCAAGUCGGGUGUGAAACCUCCAGGCUCAACCUGGAGACGCCACUCGAUACUGCUAUGGCUAGAGUCCGGUAGGGGACCACGGAAUUCCUGGUGUAGCGGUGAAAUGCGCAGAUAUCAGGAGGAACACCGAUGGCGAAGGCAGUGUUCUGGGCCAGUACUGACGCUGAGGAGCGAAAGCGUGGGGAGCAAACAGG
rnacentral:rRNA from 1 species